CUAAAUUAAUAAUUUUUGUAAUUCCAGUCUAUGUCAGCAUUUGUCUUACAGCGUUCCUGCCGGCCGACCUUCCCUGUCCUUUGUCUGCUGUGUGGGGCAGCAAAACUCUCUUAACCAGGGUGUUACUCACCAAUGAGGAAAACUGGCAUGAAGGCCCCGCAUGGAACGGGCAUGGUGGUGGCCACGGCGGACAUCCAGAACUGAGGAGGAGGAGACUGUCACUGGAGUGAUGGGAAGAAAAGCUCUGACUUGCUUGAGGAGAAGUCAUUCGGCACCACCUGAUGGUUUGCAUGUAUAAAUCUCUGUACCCC